rnacentral:rRNA from 1 species
UACAGAGGGGGCAAGCGUUGUUCGGAAUUACUGGGCGUAAAGGGCGCGUAGGCGGCCUGUUAAGUCGAACGUGAAAUACCCGGGCUCAACCCGGGAACUGCGUCCGAUACUGGCAGGCUUGAAUCCGGGAGAGGGAUGCGGAAUUCCAGGUGUAGCGGUGAAAUGCGUAGAUAUCUGGAGGAACACCGAUGGCGAAGGCAGGUCUCUGGGCCACUACUGACGCUGAGAAGCGAAAGCAUGGGGAGCGAACAGG